GGGCGGGAAAGUAGAGAAGCGACUUGCAUUCCUCAACCUGUCACAGGGUUACGUGAUGACGAACGGUUUGCGUAUUUCGCAAGAUUCUGGUCUAAUCGACGUUGUCAUUGCUUCUUUUGACGCUACAUCAAGAUCUACUACAUUGUUUGACAAUUGCGUGGAACGUUGUACAAUGAAAUAUAGACUAGAGGAUGGAGAAAAUCAUUUGAAAACACGCGAUUAUAAUCGCCACAGAGAUGUUCUUGUUUCAUGAACUUAAGAUCGAUGAUGGGAACAAGACGGAAGGCAGCAUCGUUUAAUAUACAGAUAAACGAAAAAUGCUACUAAUAUAUAAUACCAAAUAAGGAAAAUAAUAUUUUACAUGUCAAACCUCAUUGACACCGAGGAAGAUAGAUGACGAUUCUGUGACAAUAUCAGCACAGAGGAAGGCGUUGUAAGCCCAGUUUUUGUCCAUUUUGCAUAUUUGACCUUGCCAGCAGUAUUUUUGAUACAAUAUUAUUUUUGCUAAUUUUUUUUUAUGCUUUAUAUACAAACUCGGGUUUGACAAGUCAAUAUUUUACUAUUUUGUACACCAUACCAAGUUUAUCUUGUGUAAGUAUCGACUCCUAUUCAGAGAAUGUGUACCAUAUGUUUGCGCAUACGUGACAAGUUUUUAAAUUUUGAAUGAGGUGUUGAAAUGUUUUUGUAAACAAAGUAUUUGUACGAAUAUUGUUUAUUCAACGUUUGUGGUUUGCAAAACUGACUAUAAGUAAGUCCAAGUGGAAAUUUAUAUUUUGUAUGUUUUGAGCAUUUCUCGUUUAUUCAUUUAUUUGUGAACUUUUCUGCUUUUUUCACUUUGCUCUUUCA